CAAGUCUCCUCCCCACCACCAUAUGAGUACAAGUCUCCACCGCCACCCUCUCCUUCACCUCCACCAUAUGAAUACAAGUCUCCUCCACCACCACCAUAUGAGUACAAGUCUCCACCGCCACCCUCUCCUUCACCUCCAUAUGAAUACAAGUCUCCUCCACCACCACCAUAUGAGUACAAGUCUCCACCGCCACCCUCUCCUUCACCUCCACCAUAUGAAUACAAGUCUCCUCCCCCACCACCAUAUGAGUACAAGUCUCCACCACCACCCUCUCCUAAACCUCCACCAUAUGAGUACAAGUCUCCACCACCACCCUCACCUUCACCUCCACCAUAUGAAUAUAAGUCUCCUCCCCCACCACCAUAUGAGUACAAGUCUCCACCACCACCCUCUCCUAAACCUCCACCAUAUGAGUACAAGUCUCCACCACCACCCUCACCUUCACCUCCACCGUAUGAAUACAAGUCUCCUCCCCCACCACCAUAUGAAUAUAAGUCUCCUCCCCCACCUUCACCUUCUCCACCUCCCCCAUAUGAGUACAAGUCUCCACCACCACCGUCACCCUCACCACCUCCACCAUACGAAUACAAAUCUCCCCCACCACCAUCACCAUCCCCUCUACCUCCCUACCAUUAUGUUUCACCACCUCCACCAUAUUACUAUAAUUCACCUCCACCGCCAUACAACUACAGCUCUCCUCCACCACCAGAGAAGUCUCUUCCACCUUACUACUACCAUUCACCUCCACCACCAGUGAAAUCACCCCAUCCACCUUACUACUACACUUCCCCACCCACCACCAGUGAAGACAUCCACCGUACUACUAUAUUUCUCCACCACCACCAAUGAAGCCUCCACAUCCACCAUACUACUACACUUCUCCUCCACCACCAGUUAAGUCACCACAUCCACCAUACUACUACACUUCUCCUCCACCACCACCAAUGAAGCCUCCACAUCCACCAUACUACUAUAAUUCUCCACCACCACCAGUGAAGCCUCCACAUCCACCAUACUACUACACUUCUCCUCCACCGCCACCAAUGAAGCCUCCACAUCCACCGUACUACUACAAUUCUCCACCACCGCCAAUGAAGCCUCCACAUCCACCAUACUACUACAAUUCUCCACCACCGCCAAUGAAGCCUCCACAUCCACCAUACUACUACACUUCUCCACCGCCGCCAAUGAAGCCUCCACAUCCACCAUACUACUACACUUCUCCACCACCACCAGUUCCUUACCACCCCCACCCUCACCACCCCAUGCUCGUUAAGGUAGUUGGAAAAGUUUACUGCUACAGAUGCUACGACUGGGACUACCCAAAGAAAUCCCAUGACAAGAAACAUCUCAAAGGAGCUGUAGUAGAGGUUACGUGCAAGGUUGGUGACAAGAAGAUUGUGGCAUAUGGAAAAACUAAGAUUAAUGGAAAGUACAGCGUCACACUUGAAGGGUUUGAUUAUGGCAAAUAUGGAGCUAAGGCAUGCAUGGCUAAGCUGCACAUGGCGCCAAAGGAUUCCAAAUGCAACAUUCCAACCAAUCUCCACUGGGGCAAAACGGGUGCUGAACUCAGAGUCAAGUCCAAGACUGACUAUGAAGUCGUGCUCUACGCAAAACCAUUUGCUUAUGCUCCCAAGACUCCUUAUGAGGAAUGUGAGAAGCCCAAGCCAACUCCUGCUCCUUACCACUACAUAUCUCCUCCGCCACCAACUUAUGUCUAUAAAUCACCACCACCUCCACCACCAACUUACCUAUACAAGUCACCGCCACCACCGGUGAAACCUCCACCAAAGCCGUAUUAUUACGUCUCCCCACCACCACCAACUUAUGUCUAUAAAUCACCACCACCUCCACCACCAACUUACCUAUACAAGUCACCGCCACCACCGGUGAAACCUCCGCCAAAGCCGUAUUAUUACGUCUCCCCACCACCACCAACUUAUGUCUAUAAAUCACCACCACCUCCACCACCAACUUACCUAUACAAGUCACCGCCACCACCAGUGAAACCUCCACCAAAGCCGUAUUAUUACGUCUCCCCACCACCACCAACUUAUGUCUAUAAAUCACCACCACCUCCACCACCAACUUACCUAUACAAGUCACCGCCACCACCGGUGAAACCUCCACCAAAGCCGUAUUAUUACGUCUCCCCACCACCACCGGAAAAAUCUCCACCACCACCUUAUCAGUACAUCUCCCCACCACCACCGGAAAAAUCUCCACCACCACCUUAUCAGUACAUCUCCCCACCACCACCGGAAAAAUCCCCACCACCACCUUAUCACUACAUCUCCCCACCACCUCCGGAGAAAUCCCCACCACCACCUUAUCAGUACAUCUCCCCACCACCGCCGGAGAAAUCUCCACCACCACCUUAUCAUUACGUCUCCCCACCACCACCAUCUCCAUCCCCUCAUCCCUACUACUACAAAUCUCCCCCACCACCAUCUCCAUCCCCUCAUCCCUACUACUACAAAUCUCCCCCACCACCAUCUCCAUCCCCUCAUCCCUACUACUACAAAUCUCCCCCACCACCAUCUCCAUCACCACUCCCUCCUUACUACUACAAGUCCCCACCACCACCAUCGCCAUCUCCUCCACCACCUUACUACUACAAGUCCCCACCACCGCCGGAGAAAUCACCCCCACCACCCUAUGUCUACACAUCCCCUCCUCCCCCUUCACCAUCUCCACCUCCUCCAUACCACUACAUCUCACCUCCCCCACCCGAAAAAUCACCUCCUCCACCAGUCUACACUUAUGCUUCUCCCCCACCCCCAACUCACUACUGAGGUCCAACAGCUCCGCCACUUUCCACGUUCAAGAAAAUUUCCAUUUGAACCAAAGAAUAAAGGAAGGCUUCUUGAGAAGAAGAUACAGACGUCAAUCGUUGAAGGACAUUACAUUCCUCAAUAAGGUCUUCAUCAUGAAAUGCAUAGGCACAAAACUUUCAGACAUGGACCAGUUUGCUUCUACUUCUCUGGUGGCCCUCUUACACAUAAUCAUCAUCCUAGCGCCUUCAAAGUGGAAAAGUGGCUAGCCUCAAAUGUUUAUUUAUUUGGACAUAGUGAGAUUAGUCAGUGAGAAUGGAGGGGGUUUUAGUGUUGUUCAUUAUAAUUUAUUACUUGUAUAGAGGAUGCAUGGCCUUCUUGUGAGAUUGAUAUUUAUAUUUAUUACUCGGGUGUUUCUUUGAUUUUCUUGUGUACUGUGCACUCAACAAUUGUUAGUAAUAAAAGAAUUGAUAUUUAUAUUUAU